GAUGAUGGUGACAAUGAUGAUAAUGGAGAGGACAAUGACAGUGAUGUUAUGAUAGCAGAACAUGAAGGCUAAGAAAGAUUAUACUCCAAGAGAAAAGAAAGAAGGAUGACUGUGUUUGACUUAAAAUUCAUGCUCCUAAAUAGACAACAUUUCUUACAUACUGGGAUGAGUAGGAGAGACCCUGCUUGUCACUGCUAGACCACCUGGGACUCUUCUUCACUGGCAUGGCCACCUGCAGCUGUUUCCAGAACCUGCCCUGAGGAUACUUGGAUUUCUCCCCUUUCCAUUUAAUGACCGAUAACCAAAGAAGCCCAGUGUUACGAUCAAUGGCAGAAACAUCAUUCACUUCCUAUAUUGGCUGCAACCUUGUAGCUGAAGACAUUGAGAAAGAUACAGAGUGUAUGCUGGAUAUGAAGCAGAAGGAAAAAUGCCUCCAGGCAAAGCAAAUGGGUAGGCAGGAACCAAGGCCAUGGAAAGAAGCCAAUAAACCCAACCCCAUCUUCAUACACCAUUGCCGUAUAUCACUUCUUGUGAAGAAUGUUCUCAAAGACAGAACCUCUCUGCAUACCACCUCCUUCCUCCCACUUCAGCUAGGCCACUGAGGUCAGUCCAACAAAGAAAACUGCUGAUUGAGUGGAGAAUCAGAAGCCCAAAGAAUCAGAGAAGACCAUUGACAACCACACACCAAACAUGUGACUGAUAUCUAGAUUAUACAAAGAACCUCCAAAAAUGAAAUGUCAAGGAAUCAAACAACUCAAUCAAAAAGACAUUGUGGUGCUGAUUCUGUCUCAGCAAGUGAGAAUGACUGUCAUCGUCAUCACCACCACCACUACCACCACCACCAUCAUCAUCAUAAGAUGGGAGCUGGGGAAAAGGGAAGCCUAUCUACUGUUGAUGUGCAUAUCAACUGGAAAUCAGUGUGAAUGGAUCUCAAAAAAAUAAAAACAGGACUACAUGACCCA